AUUCCAGCUCCAAUAGCGUAUAUUAAAGUUGUUGCAGUUAAAAAGCUCGUAGUUGGAUUUCUGGGAGGGUGCCAAUGUCCGCCGAGUGCGUGCGCAGCGGCGCCCUUCCAUCCUUCUGUUAACGCCUCUUGGCAUUCAUUUGCUGGUGGCGGGCUCAGAUAUUUUACCUUGAGAAAAUUAGAGUGUUUCAGGCAGGCUAGGCCGGAAUACAUUAGCAUGGAAUAAUGGAAUAGGACUACGGUCUCUUUGUUGGUUUGAGGGACUGCAGUAAUGAUUAAUAGGGAUAGUUGGGGGCAUUAGUAUUUAAUUGUCAGAGGUGGAAUUCUCGGAUUUGUUAAAGACUAACUUAUGCGAAAGCAUUUGCCAAGGAUGUUUUCAUUA
rnacentral:rRNA from 1 species